CCUAUGGUCACAACAUACAGUGGUCACAGAAUAUGGUGAAACACUGGAAACACUCGGCCAGCCUUCCAUUUCAGAGGAAAUUACUUAAAAAAAGGAAUUGGGGCGUGGCGGGCAAACACACGGAGCAGAACUCAAAAGCUGUGGGUGGAUGUAUGACUGCUUCUGCAGAGAGUCCUAGAACAUUUUGAAAGGAAAUCCUGUUAAGGACUGCAAAAACGCCUUCUGAAAGGAAACUACCCUAAAGAUACUGCUAGAGUUACAAUGCUACAUUCUCUGCUGCCACAUGAGUAACUCAAAUGGGAUGGUAAUUAACAGGCUUAUGGAACACUUGAUGGAAUGCUUUGGAGAUCAAUGCAACCCUCCUCCAUCCCUUUCACAUCCAGUUUUCAUCAAAACCAGCAUCCAUGAAUUCACAUACCAACCUCAUCAUAAGUCCUUCUCAAUCAUUCCGACUGUCUAGACUAUUAUCAGGGGGUGGAAAUUAUAUGGUCUAAAUGACAAAGAUUCCCCAUCUUUCUGAACUUUACCAAAUAGCUUAUCAAAAAAGUCAUUUGAUGAAUCAUUAAAGCUCUUACAUAUAUUAGUCCAUUGUGCCUGAAAUAUGCCUUUUUUUCCAGAGGUUUGAAGCAAUCUAAAUCA